rnacentral:lncRNA from 10 species
CUCAAAAUCAGCUGCUUACCCAGAGGACCCUCCCUAACCCAUGGCAAACUGGGAUCUGGCAUCAACUCUGCAAUCACUGAGGGUCUGGUUGGCUCUCUCAUCCCAGCACAGAGCAGUCAGGGUGGGGCAGCAUCCCUUCCUGAAGAUGGGGAAGUGAGACCAAGGGAGGGAGCGACUCACCCAAGGUCACAUGGGGCUGGGGAUUAGGGUGGGUUCCACCUUGGAACCCAAAUACAGCCGCCAAGACCACCUCUCUCCGUCGAGAGCCUGGACCACCUCUCCCAGAAUGCCUGCUGCCUUCUGCCCACAGGAGCCCUGGGCUUCCCCUCCAUACUGGCUGCCCUGAAGUUGAGGGCUCCAAUCCUGUGGCCCAGGGGAGACUAAUCCACUCUCCAGGCCCCAGCCCCAGCCCUCCUUCCUCACCCCAACCCUAGCAGCCGGCAUUUCAGCCCAGAUGGCCAAGCCUGGAGCCACUCUCUCUGUGUACUUCCUCUCCCUGCCCUGACCCAGAAACGCUGCCAAGCUCCAGGUGGGCCCUGGGCCCCAGUGACGCCCACAGCCCCUCCUUUCUCCCUGGCCCAGGCCUGGGGCUGAGGUUCCAGGUCUCUGGGCUUCUUCCUCCCCCUUCAGUAAGGGCCCAGACAGCUCCGCACCCACUGGGAAACCAGAGGGGGUGGCAUAUGGUCCCAGUGUGAGGUCAGGGAGCCCCCUCCCUUCUCAAGCAGGCCUGCCUGGUCAUCUGUGAACCAUUUCAUGGCUGGCACUGGCCUGGGUUCCAGGGGAGGGCCUUGCUCAACUCCUGCAGAGACCACAGAGGAGGACAGCUGAACGGGCCCUGUAGUCAGCUCCUAGGAAGCCCCCAUUCAGGUGGGGGAUUUGGAGUGAUGAGCCUUCCCCUCUUCACUGUGUGACCCCAGAUCACUGCCUCACCUCUCUGUGCCUCCAUUUCCUAAGAAAAGAAGCUGUGGUUCCAGCACUUUGGAAGGCCAAGAGAGGAAGAUCACUUGAGCCCAGGAGUUUGAGACCAGCCCUGG